rnacentral:rRNA from 1 species
AACGAACGCUGGCGGCAUGCCUAACACAUGCAAGUCGAACGAGACCUUCGGGUCUAGUGGCGCACGGGUGCGUAACGCGUGGGAACCUGCCCUUAGGUUCGGAAUAACUCCCCGAAAGGGGUGCUAAUACCGGAUAAUGUCUUCGGACCAAAGAUUUAUCGCCUUUGGAUGGGCCCGCGUUGGAUUAGCUAGUUGGUAGGGUAAAAGCCUACCAAGGCGACGAUCCAUAGCUGGUCUGAGAGGAUGAUCAGCCACACUGGGACUGAGACACGGCCCAGACUCCUACGGGAGGCAGCAGUGGGGAAUAUUGGACAAUGGGCGAAAGCCUGAUCCAGCAAUGCCGCGUGAGUGAUGAAGGCCUUAGGGUUGUAAAGCUCUUUUACCCGGGAUGAUAAUGACAGUUCCGGGAGAAUAAGCUCCGGCUAACUCCGUG